AGCUGAUGAUCGUAGGCAAGUCACUCUGCCUCACUGGGUCUGCCUUGACUCAGUUGUUCUGUGUUAGUCAAAUAUGGCUUUGAAUAAUCAGGAAAGAGUAUUUUGUAAUUGUGAAAGUCUCUGAAUUUUGUUUAGGAGUGAUAAUUACUUGCAUAAAGACUUGCCAAAAUUCCAGUCAUUUGAAAUUUGGUUAUUUGAGUUUCGGCACAAACAGGGGAGUACCUGCUAAUUCAGAUAUUUUGCACUAAUUUUUAAAAGAUGCACUCCUCGGGGUUGCCGUUGCGGCUCAGCGGGUUAAGAACCCAACAUAGUAUCCAUGAGGAUGUGGGUUCCAUCCCUAGCUGCAAGUUAAGGAUCCAGCAUUGCUGAAAGCUGUGGGGUAGGUCUCAGAGGCAGCUCGGAUUUGGUGUUGCUGUGGCUGUGGUGUAGGCCGGCAUCUGCAGCUCCAAUUUGACCCCUAGUCUGGGAACUUCCAUAUGCCACAGAUGCAGCCCUAAAAAGAAAAAUAAAUGAAUAAAAUAUGCAGUCCUCAUAAAAACCUGAGGUAGCAGUAAGUGGUCAACCUAGGUCAGUGUCCAAUCCCCAUGCUCUUGCAUUAUACCACAUUAGGCACCCAAUUUUUUAUUGUAUAAAAAUAAAAGGAACGUUUCCUAUUCUCCAAAACUUGUUCAAUCUGACAUUAUCGUGAACUUUUACUUCUCUCUGCAGAUUAUCCCUUGAGAAACUGUAGCAGGCCAAGAAACAUUUCUAUUAUUUAACAAGUAUUUCUUUCAUUAGUGAAAACUUCAAAGUCAAGAAGCUAAACAGUCUGGCAGAGCUCCCAAACCACAAGGCAAGAUCUCUCCUCUUUCUGCGAGUCGAGUCCUUUUUAACUUCCUUUGUUUGAAAUGAGAGCAACUACCACCCAAAUAGGUCCCUAGCUCACAAGGGUGUACUGUGGGAUGUGAGAGGGGCUGAACAGUCCUGGAAAGUGGGGGAAUGAUUCAAGGGAAGAGAAACUGACACAGGAGUGGCUUUAAGAAAAGAGGAAACAGUUUCUGUAGCUGCUGAUAAAACUUUCACAUGCCCAGUCAAAAUACAUAUGCCACACAAACUCAGUACUAAUUUCCCAUAACUUAUUUUUCUCUUUACUUCAAUCUUUUCUUAUAUAAAUGAAGGGUUUGAAAGAAAGGAGAGGAUGUUUUUAUAUGGGAAAGAGCUUUAAAUCUUUGGUGUCUUGCUUCCUUCUCUCUAAAAGUGGAGAAUUAGACUAAGUUUAUUCUUUUGGUUUGGUAUGCUGAAAUCACAGUUUUAGAUUUAGAAAUUUAUUUUAGCUGGCAAUUUAUAAAACAUUUUCAAACAUUUUACAUUUUUAGGAAUAGACAAAAAUAGGCCUUUUUCUUCCAAGCAUGGAAAGCAGCAAGCACCUCUUGGUUUUCCUGACAAAUGAAUAUAGUUAUGUAAUUUAAUAGUGUUAUUAGAAUUGCCUACUUCUAGAAUGGAAACAUCAACAUCUCUGGAAUGGGGCGAGGAAAACAAAGGAGGUUUAGCUCAAAGAAAAUGUAACCAGAUCAAGAGAAAAACAAUGCGGGAACUCUUCUCAAUUACAUUUGCUUAAAAAAUUAAUACUUUAAAAAACUAGAUAAAACAAUCAUAGUUUAGGAACUAUUUUACCAUUGUUAGCUUUGCUAAUAACCUAAACAUGUCCACCAGCUCUGCAUCCUAUCUCUCCCCACUCUGACAAGUUUCCCCAAAUUUCUAAGUCUGCAUAUUUAGCACAGUCCACCUACCCCUAUCCCCCAACUUCUACUAAAGGAAAGGGAAAAGAGAAAGAAUUCGAAUUGUCUUUCUCAGCUUUUGGGGACUAAGUCCUAACUUUUAUCCAGCAGCAUCCCUGUUAACUAGCAAUUACCUGUUGAAUAAAUGAGCUGACAUCUCUUCAACCUGAAAUAUCUGGUACAAGCUUUCUUCCCCAGUGGAAAACUGAGAGCCCAGUCUAAUCCUCAGCUUUCUGCUUUUGCGCUAAGAUACUUGCUUUCAUGCACAGGGAGUUUUCUCUGCUUAUAGGAAAGGAAUAAGGACAAAGCUCGCUCUCUUGCUGUAAUUGUCAAGCUGAAGCCUUUCUUCUCCCCUUGGAACUUUCUUUUACUCCUCAGCUAUAAAUGAUUUAUUUCUCCUGAGAAAAGACUUAACAUUUAACAGGACUUUUUAGUGAUUUCACAUCAAUCCUCCUUUCGAACAGAUAUAUGUAGUCUUCAUUAAUAAUGCAAGAAAAUCAAAUAGAAAAAUGAACCAGGAAAGUCAAUUAGCAGUUUAAGUGAAAUAAAAAUAUUUUACUUCUUACCAAUUAAUUCAAAUGCAUAUUAAAAUGAGAUAUCAAAUUUUACCUAUAAAAGAGAUGGAGUAUGAAUAAAUAGACUGAUCAUGUCCACAUUGAAUGAUGAUGUGGGAAGAUAGGCACGUUGCUGCAUUGUUGAUAGGCACAGCAAUGGAAUUAGUCUUCUUUAAGAGCAGUUGAGGAGGAGUUCCCGUCGUGGUGCAGUGGUUAACGAAUCCGACUAGGAACCAUGAGGUUGCGGGUUCGGUCCCUGCCCUUGCUUAGUGGGUUACCGAUCCGGCGUUGCCGUGAGCUGUGGUGUAGGUUGCAGACGUGGCUUGGAUCCCUCAUUGCUGUGGCUCUGGCGUAGGCUGGUGGCUACAGCUCUGAUUCGACCCCUAGCCUGGGAACCUCCAUAUGCCGCUGGAGCGGCCCAAGAAAU
rnacentral:lncRNA from 1 species